GCUCGUACAGACAGCCUUGAAUUUUGUAAGGGAUCUAAAUCUAUGAAAACUGUCCCAGACAAGCCAGAGUAUAUCCACCUUCUCAGUAUAGCCAUGUGUGGAUGUGACAAAUAAUCCCACUGAACAGAUAUCUUCCACUUUAUCUAUCUAUUGCCCAAUGGAUGGUGGGAUGUCUUGCCACCAAUGAAGGCAAAACCGUGUUAAUAAGGUGAGGGAGUAUUUCUUUGUAAUUAUUAUAAAUCCAUAUGUGUAUAUUGAGUAUAUUGAAUACAUGUCUUAAAAUAUUAUUUUGAAUCAUGUCUGUAUUUUUCAGUCACCUAAAGGAAACCCCAUGGAAGACCUGCUGGUUUUCUUGUCAAAAUACCACAACCUGAGAGUACAAGCCUUCAUCGGUACAAAAUGAAAAACAGUUGUAUCAGUGUAUUAAACCACUGCUCUAAGGU